AUAGUUUUCCUUAAUUAAAAUUUUGUCUUUUUUUUUUUUUUUACGUCCGAUUGUCGGCUUGGUGUGUCCCAGGCUUAAGGAACACAGGAGGAGUUUUAUUUUUUUAUUUUUUUUUUUAGUUAAAAUGUGGAACAGUAUUUUCUCUUUUGGGUGAACUAUUCCCAAAUUAUGUAGAAAUAUGAGUAAAACACAAUAGUACAGAUAAUUUUAAGUGUAUUAUUUACAUUUGUAUUUGCAUAAUUUCUCAGUAUUUCACAACCCUCUGAAAUAUUUAAUUCUGAUUGGGCAGUGGUCAGAUAUUUUUGUAUAAUCGCCACUAAACUGUGUAAUAAGUGGGUGAACUAUCCCUUUAAGCUGGCCAUUAUGCUAAAUAGACUAUAUAGAUGGACCUUCAUGGUCCUGGGUUUUUUAUAAUGUGACAAUGACCUGUUAACUGGAGGAACAGAAUGCUGCAGUUAAGAUGACUUGCUUUUAUUUGCACAGUAAUCACUCCGCUGUAUUUCUUGACUCUAUUAUAGGGGGAACCAGGUCUGCCAGGUCCGGGAACACUCUCGGUUGAAGAGCAAGCUCAAAAAGGGGACCAGGGUCCCCCAGGAAUUCCCGGAGAAAAGGUAACAUUUUCUUGAAUUUAUUUCAUCAUUUUAUUUUGUUGGAAACCUAGAUUUGGACCAGCCUGCUUUAUGUGCUGCAAUACUUUCUGAAAACUGAAACCCUGAUCUUUUACCCAUCCUCCCCAGGGAGAUGCUGGCCUGCCAGGUAAACCAGGAGCACCAGGGAAAGAGGGCAAAAGGGUGAGUAAACUGAAGCAGGUCGC
ensembl:lncRNA